GACGAACGCUGGCGGCGUGCUUAACACAUGCAAGUCGAACGGAAAGGCCCUGCUUUUGUGGGGUGCUCGAGUGGCGAACGGGUGAGUAACACGUGAGUAACCUGCCCUUGACUUUGGGAUAACUUCAGGAAACUGGGGCUAAUACCGGAUAGGAGCCCCUGCUGCAUGGUGGGGGUUGGAAAGUUUCGGCGGUUGGGGAUGGAUUGGCGGCUGAUCAGCUUGUUGGUGGGGGAGUGGCUUACCAAGGCUUUGACGGGUAGCCGGCCUGAGAGGGUGACCGGCCACAUUGGGACUGAGAUACGGCCCAGACUCCUACGGGAGGCAGCAGUGGGGAAUAUUGCACAAUGGGCGGAAGCCUGAUGCAGCAACGCCGCGUGCGGGAUGACGGCCUUCGGGUUGUAAACCGCUUUCGCCUGUGACGAAGCGUGAGUGACGGUAAUGGGUAAAGAAGCACCGGCUAACUACGUG
rnacentral:rRNA from 1 species